GACGGGAAUGAAAUGAUGCCCAACUUGCGAAGAACACCAAAAUGUGAUGGUCCAAAUAAUGAUUUGGUAAACAAAUCGGCUAAUUGAUCUCGCGAAGGAACGAAUGAAAAAGAGAUUAAGCUAGCCAAGUACUGUUCUUGAACAAAAUGGAAAUCAAGCUCCACAUGUUUUGUCCGCUCAUGAAAGACGAGGUUACAAGCAAUAUGAAUUGCAGUUUGACUGUCAGAAUCGAUUGAAACUGGAAGAGAUGGAGAUAUGGAGAGAUCUGCUAGCAAUCGCGUGAGCCAAGAAAUGGGGGAACCGCCUAAACUGAUGAAAAAACCAUUGACUGAUCUUCGAGUGUCUUUGCAUGAAUCCCAAUCAGCAUCUCAAAAAGCAAUCAAAGAGAAUAAAAGAUUAGAACACAUAAACAGACCUUGUCCAGGAUGUUUUCUCAGGUGAUUUACAAGUCCAAGGAGGUGAUAGCAACAUUGGUAGUGAAUUGAGGAAGAAGAAAUAGCGAAAGUGGAGCAAAUAAGUGUAUAAUUUCCUCCGAUUAAAUUAAGGCUAAAGGGGAGACGAAGCGAACGAGAUUACGAAUAACCUUCAGCAGGUACUGAUAGUCGGUUUGGCGACCCUUCAACAUAGGACUUCUACUCAGCUGUUUUGGAGAGCUCCGUUGUUCCGGAGGCUAGACCUUUGGUUCAGAUCUUAUGAUGUUUAUGUAUAUGUUUAUCCAGGGGUACGGCGGGGCCCUGUCCCGUCAUAUUUCUCUAUCGAUACUCUUAGAGGUCUGUAAACAUAUAUGUGGGUUGUGUAUAAGUUCUGUUCAGCUGUGGCUAAACGUUGUGCCAUGUAUACGUUCGUCUGUAAUGGCAGCCUUGUCGGCUUGCAUAUGACAUGAUAGUGAUGUGUAGUGGCAGCCUUGUCGGCUUGCAUAUCAUUUUAUGAUCUGAUUAGUUGUGACUCCU